rnacentral:rRNA from 1 species
AUGGAAGGUCGUGCUGGGUUCGCGGUCGGGCGGGGGGCCUAUUUGUACGCGGAGCGCGCGGGUUUCCGGGUUGCCACGCGUGAGUCGCGACUCUGCAAUGCGGACUACGGAGGCUCGGAGGCGACCCGUCGGCACAGUGCUCGCUUUGACAGCCCGUGGCAAGGUGUCGGGGCGGCCGCCUCGCGUCAACGUGCGACGCGACCGAGAGGCCUGCUGCCCGACCGAUACAGCCAGCGAUCGGGCAUCAACCUGGGACCAAACACACGCGGCAAUCUCGCUUUCACCUGUGGCAGGGGGUAA